rnacentral:rRNA from 1 species
GACGAACGCUGGCGGCAUGCCUAACACAUGCAAGUCGAACGGAAACUUCGGGUCUAUUUGCGCACGGGUGCUUAACGCGUGGGAACCUGCCCGUGGGUUCGGAAUACCUCCCCGUGGGGUGUGCUAAUACAGGAUAGUCUCUUCCGACCAAAGAUUUCUCGCCUUUGGGUGGGAGCGCGUUGGAUUCGCUAGUUGGUAGGGUAAAAGCCUGCCAAGGGGACGAUCCAUAGCUGGUCUGAGAGGAGGAGCAGUCACACUGGGACUGAGACACGGACUAGCCUCGUACGGGAGGGAGGAGUGGGUAAUAUUGGACAAGGGGCGCAAGUGCGAUACAGCAACGCCGGGUGAGUGAUGAAUGCUGUAGGGUAGUAAAGCCCCUUUACCCGGGACGAUAAUGACAGUACCGGGAGAAUAAGCUCCGGCUAACUACGUG